rnacentral:rRNA from 1 species
AUUGAACGCUGGCGGCAUGCCUUACACAUGCAAGUCGAACGGCAGCAUAGAAGAGCUUGCUCUUCUGAUGGCGAGUGGCGAACGGGUGAGUAAAGCAUCGGAACGUACCGUGUAGUGGGGGAUAACGUAGCGAAAGUUACGCUAAUACCGCAUACGCACUGAGGUGGAAAGCAGGGGAUCGCAAGACCUUGCGCUAUACGAGCGGCCGAUGUCAGAUUAGCUAGUUGGUAGGGUAAAGGCCUACCAAGGCGACGAUCUGUAGCGGGUCUGAGAGGAUGAUCCGCCACACUGGGACUGAGACACGGCCCAGACUCCUACGGGAGGCAGCAGUGGGGAAUUUUGGACAAUGGGGGAAACCCUGAUCCAGCCAUGCCGCGUGAGUGAAGAAGGCCUUCGGGUUGUAAAGCUCUUUCGGCUGGGAAGAAAUCGCACAGGCUAAUACUCUGUGUGGAUGACGGUACCAGCAUAAGAAGCACCGGCUAACUACGUGCCAGCCGCCGCCGUAA